GACCUUAACCUGCUAAAUAGCCAGGCCGGCUCGCGCUGGUCGCCGGCUUCUUAGAGGGACUGUCAGCGUCGAGCUGACGGAAGUUUGAGGCAAUAACAGGUCUGUGAUGCCCUUAGAUGUUCUGGGCCGCACGCGCGCUACACUGACAGAGCCAGCGAGUUUUUUGUCCUUGGCCGGAAGGUCUGGGUAAUCUUGUGAAACUCU
rnacentral:rRNA from 1 species